GAUGAACGCUAGCGACAGGCUUAACACAUGCAAGUCGAGGGGCAGCGGGGGUGGAGCUUGCUCCACCCGCCGGCGACCGGCGCACGGGUGAGUAACACGUAUGGAACCUGCCCUGCACAGGGGGAUAAGCGAAAGAAAUUUCGUCUAAUACCGCAUAACACCUUCGGGAGACAUCUCCCGGAGGUCAAAGGGAGCAAUCCCGGUGCAGGAUGGCCAUGCGGCGCAUUAGCUGGUUGGCGGGGUAACGGCCCACCAAGGCGACGAUGCGUAGGGGUUCUGAGAGGAAGGUCCCCCACACUGGUACUGAGACACGGACCAG
rnacentral:rRNA from 1 species